rnacentral:lncRNA from 1 species
CCAAGUACUCAAGAACAGCAGCCAAGUAAACCGGGGCUCCGGUUCCAACACGCUGUGAAUACCUUCCUUUCUUCAAGUAACGGCCGAUCCUACCAACGGGGAACUGGAGACCAGCUUUGACAGACCUUGAAACGGGCUUCUUCUUCGGGCCACCACCUUUCCUUCCUCCGGCUCCCUUCUUUACUUUUCCUGAAGUUUCCAUUACUUCGAAACGACCCAAAUGCUUCGUUAACUUAAAACUCUUAGCUUUAGAAUUAGAGGAUAUUGAUUGGUACAGGAGAACUGAAGAAUGGAAUGGACGUCUCGGUAUUUUAUAGCAGUGGAUUUGGUGGAGAUGGUGUGAAGCAGGCGAGGAAUGAGUGCCGUUAGAUGGGAACUUAUUCGACGGUUCAAAUUUAGAUAUUGGGGAUCCGUGCGAUCUCCAAACAACCAAUGAGAAACAAACUAUCAAUUUUUUGAAUUUUUAUCUCAUUCUGAAGUAAUUUGGGCGCCAUUUACAAAUUUUUUGGUUUCCCGCUUCUGAAUUUCGGGUUCUUUUGAAGGCAUUUGUGGUUAGACAUAUUUGUUCGUCAUUUUAGAAUUUUCAGGUUGAAAGUUCAAUUACUAAAAAAUAUUAAAUUAUAAUUAUGGGUAAUUAUUUAAUACACUAUAAUCGGAGUUUUUUAAACUCUACAGGUGAGUUGAAAGUGAAGGUUAAAAUACCAUAGAGACACUUCUACUAAGAGUGAAGGUAUAUUUUUGUUUUUCAGCUCAAAAUAUGGAUAAAUUAAUUUGUAUACAUUUAAAUUAAAAAGUAAAUUAUUCAUUUCUUUUAAAAAAUUAUUCAUUUAUACUGUUAAAAAUUAGCGACAAUGAUAGAAUAACUAAAUAGUGAUUCUUAAUAUGCCACGUGUAUAUUAUGUUAAUGUAUAUGAAUCAAUUUUUAAGAGUAAAAAUAGACAAAAAAAUUUUAAUAGAAUAAUCAAUGUAUUAUUUGAUCUAGUGUAAAAUGGUAGAAUUAAAUUUAGAAGUGGAAGGUUUGAGUUUGGGUUUUAUCAUACUCAUUAAGAUUUACCACCAAACCAAAGCGAUUCUACUCGUUAUCCAUUAAGUAAAAAGAAAUUAAAGAUAAAAAAUGAGACAACAACCCAUAAAAAUUAAACCUCAAUUCUAAAAUCAAUGACUUCAAUUUUAAAAAAGAAGUCAAGAUACAUAAAACCCUUAAAUUAUUUUCUAAAAAAAACGAAAAUAAUGAGGUAAAAAUAAUUGUUGGAUACAAAACCAAAAAGCAAAGAGAUAGAUAAACAAAUAGAGAAAAUACAACUUUCAUGAAAUUAAAGUAUUAAAAUUGGGGAAAAAAAAGAAAAUAAUACCUAAAUUUCCCCUCUAUUUUCUCACUUUGAUCGUUGGAAAAAACUUUAACUUCAUUUUUCCAGGAUUUGUUAACAAUUGUAUUGAAUUUUUAGAUGAAUGGAUUAUUCUAAAGAGAGAAAAAUACAACAGAGAAAGAUAAACAAAAAGAUUGAAAAUAAUUUUAAUUUUUGGUAAUUGUCACUCAACUUAGAUUUUUUUUUCCUUUUCUCUUCUUCUAAUGUCUAGUUAGGGUUUUUAUUGGAGCUGUUUAAAUGACAACAUAGACUCCAGCGUGGCUAGUUAAAUGUCGCGUCAAUUCACCAUUAUGUUUGUAACGGAAAAUGGUUAGUAGGACCAAGUUGUUGUUUUUUGAAAAUUGAGUGAUUGUUGUAAAGAGAGAAAGAUAAACAAAGAAAUUGAAAAUAAUUUUAAGUUUUGGUAACCGUCACUCAACUUGGAUUUUUUUUCUUUUUCCCUUCUUAUACUAUCCAAUUAUGGUUUUUAUCGGGGUUGUUUAAAUGACAACAUAGGCUCCAACGUGGCCGUUUAAAUGCCAUGUCAAUUUUUUGUUACAUUUGUAAUGGAAAAUAGUUAGUAGGAAUGUUUUGUUAUUUUUUGAUAGUUGAGUGUCAAAGAAUAACCCAUAAAAAUUAAACCUCAAUCCUGAUAGAGUUGUUUAAAUGACAACAUAGACUCUAACUUGGUCAGUCAAAUGCCACGUCAAUUUACCGUUACGUUUGUAAUAAAAAUUGUUUAAUAAGAAUAUUUUGUUAUUUUUUAAAAGUUGAGUAACUGUUGGUAUAAUUUACCAUACUUUUUACCUAUAAAUAAAUUAUAAAAUAUUGUCCAUGUUUGAACUUACAGCGUGUUUGGUUCAAUAUUAUUAACAAUUAUGUUAAGAUAUGGCUAAAUUAUUUAUUAUUUUUUUAUUAAAUUAUAUUUAAUAAUAAUCUUAUUAAAAUUUAAUAACAAUAACAAUAAUUAUCUAUUUAACAAAAAAUUCUGCUAAGGGUACUUUGGCUAUUUAAGCCUUUUUCCUUAUGCUAUUACAACAUAUAUUAUAUUAAACCAAACACAAUAAUACUAUUACAGAUUUAUUCCAUUUCAUUCAAUCAAACAACUUUAUUACUAAUUACAACUCUAUUUCAUUACAGUUUUAUUUCAUUCCCCCAAACCAAACAUGCACUUUAAUGUUUAAUGUGAACAAUAACUUCAACAACUAAUCAGAAGAACCCUUAGAAGCUAUCAUGUGAGUAUUGGUUGUACAUACCACAUGAUAAAUUAUCAGAAUCUUAUAGCUUAGGUUAGUACUACAUUUGAACUUGUGAUAACGUGCUCGUAACCAAUGAGAAUUUGCUUCUCAUACACAUGUCCUUUUGCUCAAGCAGCCUCCAUGAUUUCAUCUUAUUUAUAAAAGAUGAAAACAAAAUUGUACCAACAAAAAUACAUCAAGAAUAGAAACUAGAUGUUUCAUUUCCAUUAAAGUAACGUACAUGAUAAUGGGACUCUUAACAGUUUUUCUAGUUUGCUUAAAACAUCCCAAAGGAAAUACAACUAAUAAAAAUAAAGCCAUAUUAAACUAUGUUUCUUAACAAUCAAAUUAAGCUUUCUUAGGAGACUUGGUAGCCUUUGAUGGAGAUUUGGGUUCUUUGCCGGCGGCCUUUUCAGUCUUCUUCGGCAAAAGAACUAGGUUGAUGUUCGGCAAUACGCCACCACGAGCGAUGGUUACGCCAGCGAGAAGCUUCCCUAAUUCUUCGUCGUUCCUCACGGCGAGUAGCACCUACCUUGGUAUGAUCCUAUUUUUCUUGUUGUCCCAAAUUAAGAAACACGAAAUUUAAGUAUACCCAAACACAGUUAAAUAAUUUGAUUUUAAUUUGAUAUACCUUAGCAGCCAAGUACUCAAGAACUGCAGCCAAGUAAACUGGGGCAUUUUCAGUUUACUCUAGAGCCAUAUGUAAUUGAAUCAUUUUCUUCGUUGAAGUGUUUAGGUAUUGAACAUUGUCGUUGUGGAGUCGGAAGGUAAAUAAUGCUCUAAAUUCGCACAUAAUUCUUAUAUUUCUAAUUUUGCAGUUGAAAUCAUAAUUUCUAACAUAUAUAUUUUCAAUGGACUUGUAGGAAUGUCAAUAAAACAACUCAUCACUAGAAAAAGGUAUUUUAGUAUAUGCAAACUAUUUAUCUAUUGAUGUUUCUUCAUCUUAUAUUGUGGAUAUUUUUAUCAGCUGAAAGAUCUUUUGUUCGUGCUGGUAUAGGAGAAAAUUAUAAAUGGUUCUAUUGAGUAAAACGAUUUAGUUUCUGUUUAAAAUUUAAGAUAAAUUACACAGAUGAUUAUCUAUAAUUUAUUAUUAUCUCGACCACCAUACUAGGCAAGCUAAACCCACCAUUAGCCUCCACCAUCGCCACCAUUCUUCACCGUGCCCUUCACAUCAUUACUACAUUUCCUCCACUGUCAAACCCAAUGUCAAGUCCCAUAACAACCACCAUAAAUCAACCUAAACAUAACCCCAUCGCUACUGUCCACCCUUCAAAAAUCAUACCUGAAGUCCCUACUACUCACUAAAAAUAAAAAAAAAGCCCCCAAUCCAAAGUUGAAAAACAAAAAAGAGAAUAAGUUAGAAAAAAGAAUGAAGAAAAAAUAUUAAGAGAAAAGAAAACACAUCUAGUAGAAUUGGAGCCUCCAAUGGCCUCCUUCCAAAUUUGGAAAAUAGGUACGGCGCCAAUACUACGAAGAAAACCAUACCUCCAAACCAGGCAAUUGGACAGUCUAAGGAGAUUGAAAGACAUUCGCUCCUAAUUUCAAGGCCAGAUUUGAAGAGUUUAUGACCAAUUCACACCAAACUAACUUGAGAUUUGAGAUGAAAGGAAGAGAGGAGAGUUUUUGUUUGCCUAGUAACCGGAGAAGAUCACUGAAGCAACCAGCGGCAACAACAAGUCCCAAACGAUAACGGAUAUUGAAUUUUAUAAAUUGAAUAUUUUUUUGUGGUAAGAAAUGAAAACCAGCUUGCAACCAAUGAAAACCUACUUCGCAGACAUUGUUGGCACUAUGCCCACUACAAUGAAGUGGUUUCAACAAGAAAUCUCAUAGGCAUGUUGUGUUGUUAUGCCCUUCGGCUAAAGUAAUCUCGAAGGUUUCAUUUUUAAUAUUGUAUUUAUUUGAUACGAUACUUAGUGAAUUGUAAAAAGAAAAAACAAAAUUAUGCUUUUCAAAGAAACUAGAUGUUUCAUUUCCAUUAAAGUAACAUACAUCAUAAUGAGAUUCUAACAAUGCUUCCAUAUUGCUUAAGGCAGUCUUCCCCUACACUGUGAAAACAAUCACCCAAAAGGACAUACAACUAAGAAAAAUAAAGCCCUGUGAAUCUAGUUUUGUUAAAACAAAUUAAGCUUUCUUAGGAGACUUGGUGGCCUUUGAUGGAGAUUUGGGUUCUUUGCCGGCGGCCUUUUCAGUCUUCUUCGGCAAAAGAACUGGGUUGAUGUUCGGCAACACACCACCGUGAGCGAUGGUUACGCCGGCGAGAAGCUUCCCUAAUUCUUCGUCGUUCCUCACGGCGAGUAGAACGUGCCUUGGGAUGAUCCUGUUUUUCUUGUUGUCACGUGCAGCGUUCCCAGCCAAUUCCAGAACCUGAAUCCAAAUUCAAAUUAAGAAACACGAAAUUCAAGUAUACGAAAACACAGUUAAAGGAUCUGAUUUUAAUUUGAUAUACCUCAGCGGCCAAGUACUCAAGAACAGCAGCCAAGUAAACCGGGGCUCCGGUUCCGACCCGCUGCGAAUACCUUCCUUUCUUCAAAUAACGGCCGAUCCUACCAACAGGGAACUGGAGACCAGCUUUGACAGACCUUGAAACGGGCUUCUUCUUCGGGCCACCACCUUUCCUUCCUCCGGCUCCCUUCUUUACUUUUCCUGAAGUUUCCAUUACUUCGAAACGACCCAAAUGCUUCGUUAACUUAAAACUCUUAGCU